GUGCUGUCUUCCCCAGCACAUAUGCUAAAAUGGGAAUGAUACAGUGAAGAUUAGCAUGGCUCCUGCACAAAGAUGACAUGCAAAUUUGUGAAGUGUUCAUAUUUUUU